AUCGAACGCUGGCGGCAGGCCUAACACAUGCAAGUCGAGCGGAUGAAGGGAGCUUGCUCCUGGAUUCAGCGGCGGACGGGUGAGUAAUGCCUAGGAAUCUGCCUGGUAGUGGGGGAUAACGUCCGGAAACGGGCGCUAAUACCGCAUACGUCCUGAGGGAGAAAGUGGGGGAUCUUCGGACCUCACGCUAUCAGAUGAGCCUAGGUCGGAUUAGCUAGUUGGUGGGGUAAAGGCCUACCAAGGCGACGAUCCGUAACUGGUCUGAGAGGAUGAUCAGUCACACUGGAACUGAGACACGGUCCAGACUCCUACGGGAGGCAGCAGUGGGGAAUAUUGGACAAUGGGCGAAAGCCUGAUCCAGCCAUGCCGCGUGUGUGAAGAAGGUCUUCGGAUGGUAAAGCACUUUAAGUUGGGAGGAAGGGCAGUAAGUUAAUACCUUGCUGUUUUGACGUUACCAACAGAAUAAGCACCGGCUAACUUCGUG
rnacentral:rRNA from 1 species